rnacentral:rRNA from 1 species
UGGGGAAUCUUGCGCAAUGCGCGAAAGCGUGACGCAGCAACGCCGCGUGGGGGAAGACGGCCUUAGGGUUGUAAACCCCUUUCAGGAGGGACGAAGGUCGGCGCGUUAAUAGCGUGUCCGACUGACGGUACCUCCACAAGAAGCCCCGGCUAACUACGUGCCAGCAGCCGCGGUAAUACGUAGGGGGCAAGCGUUGUCCGGAAUUAUUGGGCGUAAAGAGCGUGUAGGCGGUCCGGUAAGUCAGCUGUGAAAGUCAAGGGCUCAACCCUUGAAUGCCGGUUGAUACUGUCGGGCUAGAGUCCGGAAGAGGCGAGUGGAAUUCCCGGUGUAGCGGUGAAAUGCGCAGAUAUCGGGAGGAACACCAAUGGCGAAGGCAGCUCGCUGGGACGGUACUGACGCUGAGACGCGAAAGCGUGGGGAGCAAACAGG